UUUUAAAAUUUACAAUUAUUUUUUAAUAUAAUUACACUAGAAAUUUGAAUAGCGCGCUACGCGCGCGCCUAAGUUUCAACCAAUAAUGAAUCGUGACCCGUUUUUUGCGAGUUUCGACCUUUGAAUAAC